AACGCUGGCGGCGUGCUUAACACAUGCAAGUCGAACGGAAAGGCCUGUACUUGUACAGGUACUCGAGUGGCGAACGGGUGAGUAACACGUGGGUGAUCUGCCCUGCACUAUGGGAUAAGCUUGGGAAACUGGGUCUAAUACCAUAUAGGACCACUUCUUGGAUGUUGUGGUGGAAAGCUUUUGCGGUGUGGGAUGAGCCUGCGGCCUAUCAGCUUGUUGGUGGGGUAAUGGCCUACCAAGGCGGCGACGGGUAUCCGGCCUGAGAGGGUGUACGGACACAUUGGGACUGAGAUACGGCCCAGACUCCUACGGGAGGCAGCAGUGGGGAAUAUUGCACAAUGGGCGCAAGCCUGAUGCAGCGACGCCGCGUGGGGGAUGACGGCCUUCGGGUUGUAAACUCCUUUCGCUAUCGACGAAGCCACCUUGGGUGGUGACGGUAGGUAGAUAAGAAGCACCGGCUAACUACGUGCCAGCAGCCGCGGUAAUACGUAGGGUGCAAGCGUUGUCCGGAAUUACUGGGCGUAAAGAGCUCGUAGGUGGUUUGUCGCGUCGUCUGUGAAAUCCCGGGGCUUAACUUCGGGCGUGCAGGCGAUACGGGCAUAACUUGAGUGCUGUAGGGGAGACUGGAAUUCCUGGUGUAGCGGUGAAAUGCGCAGAUAUCAGGAGGAACACCGAUGGCGAAGGCAGGUCUCUGGGCAGUAACUGACGCUGAGGAGCGAAAGCAUGGGUAGCGAACAGGAUUAGAUACCCUGGUAGUCCAUGCCGUAAACGGUGGGCGCUAGGUGUAGGGGGCUUCCACGUCUUCUGUGCCGUAGCUAACGCAUUAAGCGCCCCGCCUGGGGAGUACGGCCGCAAGGCUAAAACUCAAAGGAAUUGACGGGGGCCCGCACAAGCGGCGGAGCAUGUGGAUUAAUUCGAUGCAACGCGAAGAACCUUACCUGGGCUUGACAUAUACAGGAUUGGGCUAGAGAUAGUUCGUCCCUUGUGGUCUGUAUACAGGUGGUGCAUGGUUGUCGUCAGCUCGUGUCGUGAGAUGUUGGGUUAAGUCCCGCAACGAGCGCAACCCUUGUCUUAUGUUGCCAGCACGUGAUGGUGGGGACUCAUGAGAAACUGCCGGGGUUAACUCGGAGGAAGGUGGGGAUGACGUCAAAUCAUCAUGCCCCUUAUGUCCAGGGCUUCACACAUGCUACAAUGGUCGAUACAAUGGGCAGCGACAUCG
rnacentral:rRNA from 1 species